GUGGUUUUGGAUGGACUCACGGCCUAUCAGCUUGUUGGUGGGUUAAUGGCCUACCAAGGCGACGACGGGUAGCCGGCCUGAGAGGGUGGACGGCCACACUGGGACUGAGACACGGCCCAGACUCCUACGGGAGGCAGCAGUGGGGAAUAUUGCACAAUGGGCGCAAGCCUGAUGCAGCGACGCCGCGUGAGGGAUGAAGGCCUUCGGGUUGUAAACCUCUUUCAGUAGGGAAGAAGCGAAAGUGACGGUACCUGCAGAAGAAGCGCCGGCUAACUACGUGCCAGCAGCCGCGGUAAUACGUAGGGCGCAAGCGUUAUCCGGAAUUAUUGGGCGUAAAGAGCUCGUAGGCGGUUUGUCGCGUCUGCCGUGAAAGUCCGGGGCUUAACUCCCGAUCUGCGGUGGGUACGGGCAGACUUGAGUGAUGUAGGGGAGACUGGAAUUCCUGGUGUAGCGGUGAAAUGCGCAGAUAUCAGGAGGAACACCGAUGGCGAAGGCAGGUCUCUGGGCAUUAACUGACACUGAGGAGCAAAAGCAUGGCGAGCGAACAGGAUUAGAUACCCUGGUACUCCAUGCCGUAAACGUUGGGCACUAGAUGUGGGGGACAUUCCACGUUUUCCGCGCCGUA
rnacentral:rRNA from 1 species